UUGGAGGGCAAGUCUGGUGCCAGCAGCCGCGGUAAUUCCAGCUCCAAUAGCGUAUAUUAAAGUUGUUGCAGUUAAAAAGCUCGUAGUUGAAUUUCGGGAUUGACGUGAUGGUCAUGCCUUAAGGGGUAUGAACUGUUACUGUUGAUUUCUCACCUUCUGGAGGAACUUGAUGUCCUUUAUUGGGUGUCUUGCGGAUCCAGGACCUUUACCUUGAAAAAAUUAGAGUGUUUAAAGCAGGCAUUUUUGCUCGAAUACAUUAGCAUGGAAUAAUAGAAUAGGACGGCAUGGUUCUAUUUUGUUGGUUUCUAGGAUCACCGUAAUGAUUAAUAGGGAUAGUUGGGGGCAUUAGUAUUCAAUUGUCAGAGGUGAAAUUCUUGGAUUUAUUGAAGACUAACUACUGCGAAAGCAUUUGCCAAGGAUGUUUUCAUUAAUCAAGAACGAAAGUUAGGGGAUCGAAGACGAUCAGAUACCGUCGUAGUCUUAACCAUAAACUAUGCCGACUAGGAAUCAGACGAUGUUAAUUUUUUAAUGACUCGUUUGGCACCUUACGGGAAACCAAAG
rnacentral:rRNA from 1 species